GGUGCUGAGCUUCUUCUACAGAUCCAUGGGAGGUCUCCUAUCUAAGUGACCUUUCAGUUCCUGAGUUUCCGAAUUUCUUUUAUUCAAGUUGUCUUACCACGAGGCCACACUGGUUGCUUAUCAGAAAGCCUUGGUGAUAUAUUGGAAUUUCCAUCUUUUACGUAUGAACGAGUUUUCUCGUAUUAUACUAUAUGUUCCAGUUACUCGAGAUGUACCCCUGAAGAAGUCUUUUGUAUAAGACAAAACGCGUUGGGUUGUCUAUGUUGUGGCGUUAUCUCCGAACCAACUUUAAGGAGAAGGAGGAGACUGUUGUGAUCCACUUGUAUUUGUAUUCAACACUGAGAAUUAUACAUCUUUCACUGUGGAAUAAUACGUCUCUUCUGUAUUAGUUUUGAAUGUGUUUUUAAUAAAUGUUUUAUGAUGGAA